UGCGGCGCGUUUCUCUCCAGCCGGCCCAAUCGCCGCGCUCCCCAGCAAAACCAACGUGUUCGCCUCGCGCGCCCGGCCACUGCGAGAGGACGCAUUCACUGUGCAUUCCGGCGACGGCGGAGACCGCGGCAGAAAGCAGAGCGCGCGCGAUUCCAGCGUGCGCACUGUUUUUUUUUCCGCGUACGAGCAAGAAUCACCGCCAGAAUCAUCUGGCUGCACUGAAGGCACGUAUUUCUUUGUUACUGCAUUUAUUUUGGUCCAAUUUACGAAUAAAAGCAUGGCAACUGGUGAAUUUUCCUGAUAAAGAUUAUUGUAAGGAGGCAUGAAUUCGUCUGUGGCAGCAUUAACUUUUUUUCAUUACGGUCCGUUUUGUCUCGGUGCUAAAUACCUUGAUUUGAGAAAUAUAGAGGCAUUCUAGCAUUCCUCCUUUCUGUGUAUGGGUGAAUCCGGGCUAAAUAUCGUCGUUGAAUCAUAUUGCCCUCCUAUCGUGACACAUCGUUUUACUAUUUUAUCGCGUACGGAUAUUUAUGAAGUGGUCAACCGAAGCACAGUUACGCUCUAGAUAACUGAGUGCCCUGGUCAUGUCACUGAAGUAAGCUGGUAAGUAAUUUUGCCUGAAUAUGGUAGACGGCUUCGAUUAGCCGACCUACAUUUACUCCCCACGUCGUUCACAGUGAAAGUGCCCGAGUUGUCAUCGUCUCCUUUUUCGUCAUCUGUAUUUUGAUUUUGUUUUGGUAGCACAAUGGCAAUAUCAGUAUCAUGUUCACUUGCUGUACUCUCGACUGCAUCCAAAUCAAAGGGUCGCACAGGCAGCAGAACGGCGUCUUUCUGAAAAAAAAAGUAAGUAUUCGUCGAGGUAGACUACUGAAGAAAGAAAAAGUGCAAUUGUCACUGCUGUGUAACGCGCAGUGUUUCAUAUCAGGUACACCACACUCUGAACGCGUGUUGCGUUCUUCUUGAACAAGCAAAAUAUUUCGAUGUUCGUUCUUACAUUGCCCAACGUGUCCACUGAACGCCGUAAAACUCAGUGUGAAUGGGCGACCAUAAGUGUCCAAAACGCGCCUGUAACCAGCCCGUGGUCGUCGCAGAACCGGCGACGUUCAGUCUAGACGUAGCCUAGACGCAUGGCGACCGUUUCCACCCUCCUCCCUGUCUCCUGCUUCUGCGGCGCGAUGGGAGAAUUCUUGAAACGGCGUUACAAUGAAAAGCAGCACUAGUUCCAUGAAAGGAAAGAAAAGGGAACCCAUUUAAUCGAGUGUAACACGUGAGCGUAGAACGGGGCACUCUUCUGACUUCGCUUGCGGAUCGCACUGUCAUUAUUUUUUUCUUCUUCGCCAGUGCCCCCCGUACUAUACAGCCCACAAACUUCGAAGUAUAGUAAGUUUCCAGCACAUGCGGAUCUCUUGCAGAGGCAUCGCAAUUAUUAGUGCUCUAAUAUGGGCGGCGCAAAUCUACGGCAAAAAAAAGAAAGCCCGUUUGAGAAUAUAUACACCCCAGCAUUGACUUUGCCUCUCGUACACCUUGACCCGACAUUUCCGAACGAGCGCGGUGUUAUAUAAAAGCGCAAAACCAUUUUUUUUCUCGCCACAUGCAAGCUGCGCCAACAGCGCGGCAGCCUUUUCGGUCCAUUCGAUCCUCUGUGGGAGCGCCGCGGUGCGGAGAAAAGAGCGGGCCACGCCCACCUCUGGAAACACGCGCUCUCCGUGCGAUUGGGACGGCC
rnacentral:lncRNA from 1 species